UACAGAGGGUGCAAGCGUUAAUCGGAAUUACUGGGCGUAAAGCGUGUGUAGGUGGUUGGAUAAGUUAGAUGUGAAAUCCCCGGGCUUAACCUGGGCACUGCGUUUAAAACUGUUUAACUAGAGUACUGUAGAGGAUAGUGGAAUUUCCGGUGUAGCGGUGAAAUGCGUAGAUAUUGGAAGGAACACCAGUGGCGAAGGCGACUAUCUGGACAGAUACUGACACUGAGACACGAAAGCAUGGGGAGCAAACAGG
rnacentral:rRNA from 1 species